rnacentral:rRNA from 1 species
GGAUGCGAUCAUACCAGCACUUAAAGCACC